ensembl:lncRNA
UUUUGGUCCCUUGUGUUAGGGAAAUAAAUUAUCCUUUUGUUACUUUUACCUACGCAGUUCCUUUUAUUUGUCCGACCAUGAGCCGGGUCGUGACAAAUGUGGGGGCUCGUCCGGGAUCCGUGUGCGCUAGUAAGCCAGAGUUGUGAAUGAACUCACGGGAGUUUGUGAAUGGAACCGUUUUGGCGGCGUUACUAUUGAGUGGCGUGGGAACCCGGAAGUCGCGAGGGCUUGUGUGUGUGGUUUGUACGCCACGGUUUAGCUGUGAACUGCGAAGGUAAAUUUUGGGCCAUGGUUGUGUUGUUUCUCUGGGUCACUUGGCUUUUGUUGCUGCUUGAAGAUAAUUGUUUUGUCCGGGCAUCCUGAUCAGUUAGCCGCCGGGUGAGCAGAUCUCGCCACUUUAUUAUUUUGCCUUUUUUUGUUUUUGUCGGUAACCCUGAGGAGGGAGUGCGCUGGCUUUGGGUUGUUGCAGCUGGCCAGUCUCGGUCAGAUGUAAUUUCCUGCGGUUGGUGUCACUUCGAGCUCGGCAAGCCGACGAAGACUAGGCGUUUGAGAGGAUAAAGUCUCUGCUGUGUGAAGCACCGGUCCUGGCCGCUCCGAGGUUUGACCGACCUUUUGUGCUUCAAGUCGACGCUAGUCACAUCGGAGUAGGUGGCGUUUUGUUGCAAGCCAAUGAGUUGGGUUUGGAAAAACCAGUCUGUUUCUUUUCCAAGAAAUUUAACUCAUAUCAAUUGAACUAUUCAACGAUUGAAAAGGAGGCACUGGCCUUAGUUUGGGCUCUGAGAAACUUUGAAGUGUACUUGGGCUCUGGAGCGGUACCCGUAGUGGUGUACACUGACCACAACCCACUUCUGUUUUUGAACUCGCUGCAAUGUCCUAACCAGCGUCUGAUACGUUGGUCGUUAUUUCUACAGUCACAUUGGCUUGAUAUUAGACACAUAAAGGGUGCGGAAAACGUCGUAGCCGACGCACUGUCUCGCGUUCCUCAAGAUUGAGGUUUGAGCUAAGACUUUAUUGCUGUUAUGAUGUUGUCCUGUUGCGCUCCUGUUCCCUCUUCUGUCAUCCUUCCCUCUUAAAUUGCUUCCCACUGGUACCAGGUUGCUGAGGUGGGGGUGUGGAAGAUGCGCGUAGUGAGCUGUGUGGUUCUCAACAGCAGCUGGUGUUCCUGUCCUCGGAUGUGUGUGCCCUUGUGUGUGUGCCUUAAACAUCGUAAACUCUAUACGUGUAAAAAAAAAAAAAAAAAAAAAAAGUAAAACUUCAAAGUAAGUAAAAGGUAUAUAUUUGUGAAAAAAAAAAAAAAAAAUCUUUAAAGUAAGUAGAAUGUAUAUAUUUGUGAAGAAAACAAACUUUAUAGUAGGUAGAAUGUGUAGCCUAUAUAUUUGCAAAGUAAAAAAAAAAUAAUGAGGUUUAAUAAUGAGGGAGCCAUUGUCGAGUUCGGGGUUGGGCCCCGUUUUUCAGGGAGGGGGGUGUGACGGCCUCCUGCCUGUGGAUGUGUGUAUGCGUGUAUGGUGGCCUCUGCUUUGUCAAGCUGCAGGUGAUGAGCUGGUGGGUGUGGCCAAUUCCCAAACCUGUGUUAAGCUGGUCCUUCCUCCUGCCUCAGGCUCUUCCUGACAUCGCCUGGCUCCGGAGGGAGAGCGGUGUGCCGCUCCGCCGCAGCCCC